CUACCUGCUUCUUGCUAGAUCAUCCUCACGCACUAUAGUAGAGCCAUGGGAAGUACCAUCUGAAUGCUUGCUUUUUGAAAGAGUCAUGGGAAGUACCAUCUGGCUUGCUUCUGAAAUCUGGAAUGCCAUGUUGGGGCCGGCUUCACUGCUUCAUUUUUUUUAUCUUCUCCAUAGACUACAUUGCAAACACCAUCCUUGAGUAUAAUAGGUUCAUGCUCUUGCUUUAUUGUUUUAUAGCCAGUGUUGCGUUUCCCGUCCUAAUUAUUGGUUCUAUUUUAUAGUUGCUAACUUAUUGUGCUUUAAUGUCAACUUUGUGAUGCUACUUUCUUAUUCUUAGUUAUUUUGAUCAGUGUUAUACUACUCCAUAAUCAGGAUUUCAUAGUUUAACUAUCAUAUUGUUGAUCUAUUUGUAGAGAUGAUUUUAGUUUUCACUAUAAUGUUUGAUUGUGUUAUUGCAGAAAGAAGGAGAGCAUGUGGAACAAGAUUGUUAGGCAUGAUGAUGAAGAUAAUGGUCUGUUAUGGUAGAGCCAUUAAUAGGAGUAGAUGGUUCUUCAAGUACAACAUUGAUUUAUGGAAAAUAUUGGCUCACUCCAAAGAAUGCUUUCUAUUUGGUCAUUAUUAGUAUAUACUUAUAAUUGGAUUU